CCAGGUAUUACAGACAGGCGUACACAUGAAAUAGAUGCAUGUUCCAGGUACUACAGACAGGCGUACACAUGAAAUAGAUGCAUGUUCCAGGUAUUACAGACAGGCGUACACAUGAAAUAGAUGCAUGUUCCAGGUAUUACAGACAGGCGUACACAUGAGAUAGAUGCAUGUUCCAGGUAUUACAGACAGGCGUACACAUGAGAUAGAUGCAUGUUCCAGGUAUUACAGACAGGCGUACACAUGAGAUAGAUGCAUGUUCCAGGUAUUACAGACAGGCGUACACAUGAGAUAGAUGCAUGUUCCAGGUAUUACAGACAGGCGUACACAUGAGAUAGAUGCAUGUUCCAGGUAUUACAGACAGGCGUACACAUGAGAUAGAUGCAUGUUCCAGGUAUUACAGACAGGCGUACACAUGAGAUAGAUGCAUGUUCCAGGUAUUACAGACAGGCGUACACAUGAGAUAGAUGCAUGUUCCAGGUAUUACAGACAGGCGUACACAUGAGAUAGAUGCAUGUUCCAGGUAUUACAGACAGGCGUACACAUGAGAUAGAUGCAUGUUCCAGGUAUUACAGACAGGCGUACACAUGAGAUAGAUGCAUGUUCCAGGUAUUACAGACAGGCGUACACAUGAGAUAGAUGCAUGUUCCAGGUAUUACAGACAGGCGUACACAUGAGAUAGAUGCAUGUUCCAGGUAUUACAGACAGGCGUACACAUGAGAUAGAUGCAUGUUCCAGGUAUUACAGACAGGCGUACACAUGAAAUAGGUGCAUGUCCUGAUAACGGCCUUGCACGCACGGGUACAGUAGGCUUUUUUAGGGCUUUACGUCCACUUGUUCUGAACCUUUCAUUUGACAGCUGUUCAUGUGGAUAUGCAAGGGUGUAUCAUAGUGUGUAGUCUUGUAUUUAAUAAAGAUAACAAUUAAUUGAAUGCGAAUCCGGUUCACGGAAUUACUUGUUUUACAGACAAGUUACUACGACCGUGUUCAAGUUGUUACUAAUCUUGCUUGAUGUCUUAAUAUCUGAAGUGCCUGUUUAACGUGUGCUCAUCUUAUGGAGGGUUGUAGUGUAUGCACAUGUUGAUGAUAACCUUGUCCGCAGGCAUAACCACCGUUGUGUGUA